UUUUAAAAACAAUAUUUUACAGGCAGGUUUUUGAUGUACAAAGCUUUAUUUUUUGAAGGUUAAUGGCGUUUUUGACAUGAUAGGGCAAGUGUAAAUGUUGUAGAUUGUACAUGAGUACAUCCUGCAGUGCUGGCGAGAAUAUAGGGCAUUUUUCACCGAUCACUCAUUGUACUUACAGAAUAUGCUUUGUCAAUCAUUUGUCACACCCUCUUGGUUUACUAUCCAGGUAAUAUUUGGGUUUUUAUUUACUUCUUUCAGCAUUAAAGUUAAUCAGACGAGAUACUGAAUCCCGAGUGUAUGAAUUAGAGUUUUUGUUUUGUUGAUGUGUUGAUAAUUCAUGUGUACAUCUCAUUUAUAUCAGUAUUUUACCCAUUUAUGAAUGUUAUGAACUGUGCUUUGUGAAUGUACAUUGUGAGCAGUACAUAGGGAGUUGUUAUAAAACUGUUAUAGUAUAUUGCUAGACAACACGGGUAGAGGAUAUGUUCCGGGCGUACUGAAAUUACGACUCUCAGUUUGUCGCCUUUAUCUGAAAAUGUAAACAUUGUACUUUUGGUUGUAUUGUUUUGUGUUAAACGAAUCAAUAUGAAUAUAUUCAUUGCUCAGUUAUAUAAAUAUUAAUAAGCAG
rnacentral:misc_RNA from 1 species